rnacentral:rRNA from 1 species
AUACGGAGGGAGCGAGCGUUGAUCGGAAUUACUGGGCGUAAAGCGCGCGUAGGCGGCUUUGUAAGUCGGAUGUGAAAGCCCUGGGUUUAACCUGGGAAUGGCAUUCGAUACUGCAGAGCUAGAGUAUGGUAGAGGGAAGUGGAAUUUCCGGUGUAGCGGUGAAAUGCGUAGAUAUCGGAAGGAACACCAGUGGCGAAGGCGACUUCCUGGGCCAAUACUGACGCUGAGGUGCGAAAGCGUGGGGAGCAAACAGGAUUAGAAACCCUGGUAGUCC